GGCCGCUCCCCACCUGGCAAGGCCCCCUUCGAGGCUGCAGGCGAGGCCAGGCCGCUCCCUGGACAGGAAUAAAUCUCCAAGAACUCCUUGGCGUGGCCAUUUCAGGACCCUUUCCUGUAGAGCAUGAAGCAAAUCUAGGUGCUGCUGGACAAGGUACCGUAAAGAGCCAGGGAAGAGGCUUGGAACAGAAGAGAGACAGGAUCACACAAACCAG